rnacentral:rRNA from 1 species
ACGGGAGGCAGCAGUGGGGAAUAUUGGACAAUGGGGGAAACCCUGAUCCAGCGACGCCGCGUGAGUGAAGAAGUAUUUCGGUAUGUAAAGCUCUAUCAGCAAGGAAGAAAAUGACGGUACUUGACUAAGAAGCCCCGGCUAACUACGUGCCAGCAGCCGCGGUAAUACGUAGGGGGCAAGCGUUAUCCGGAUUUACUGGGUGUAAAGGGCGCGUAGGCGGGGAUGCAAGUCAGGUGUGAAAUCUAUGGGCUUAACCCAUAAACUGCAUUUGAAACUGUAUCUCUUGAGUGUCGGAGAGGUAGAUGGAAUUCCUAGUGUAGCGGUGAAAUGCGUAGAUAUUAGGAGGAACACCAGUGGCGAAGGCGAUCUACUGGACGAUAACUGACGCUGAGGCGCGAAAGCGUGGGGAGCAAACAGGAUUAGAUACCCUGGUA